ACCGUCUCCCUUCACUGCUCCUUCCGCCUUCUUUUGUACCCCCCUUGAUAAGGAGGUCCUGAUGUGUCUCCUGGCACACCUGAAUGCGAUGAGCUUUAUUCCGAUGGUGGAGGUGGCAGGCCUUUGGCUGGAACAUACACCCCUUUUACUACUCUGCCUCUCAGCCCUUUACAGUUUAUUUUGGUUUUGGACUCCAGGUAGUUGUUAACUCCGCUUCUUCUCCAGUCUUCCAUGAAUCAUGGUUAUAUCUGGACCCUAGACCUACCUUCUGCCAUGGCGCUGCUGACACCCUUUGGCUACCAUGACUAUUAUUAUUAGGCACAUUACUAUUAGUGUCAUCAUACAUGCACCUUACUGACUUUGCUUCUUUUCAGUAUCCUCUGUGAAGGUGGUUUUUGAAGGUGUCAGCUGAGGUGGUUCGGGGAUCUAACUAGGAUACCUCGGACGUCUCCCACUGGAAGUUUUUCAGCCACACCCAAAUGUAUCAAAGGGUUUGCAUAAACUGGCGCCCUGCUUUAGUAAAACACUGCAAGCGGAAGUGGGGAGCAGACAAACAAAAGACUAGAUGAGACUGGACUCCUCUAAAUCCCAGCCGGAGGCCGCUUCCACCCACACCUCUCUUCUCCAUCCAGCCAGUGCAUCCUCACCCACCAGCUUCAUCCCCAAUCUCCCCUCAAUCCCCUCUCCUUCUCAUUCUCUACAAAAGUGGUUUCCAGGACUUCCAGACCUUGUUCCUUUUUCUUCUUCCCUGUGCUGGUAAACUGUCUGAAGAGUGAGAAGGACGUGUAAGUGUUAAUUUGUCAUCAAACUAUCCAUUUCCAAGAAUGCUUCAAAAACUAUCAAGCUGAAACACUGGUAUUACAGUAUAAAAACUGAUUACAGCUGACUAGCUUAACUAGCUGACAUAGAAAAGUAUUCAUAGAAAAUUCAUAGAAAAAGUAAAGAAAAGUAUUAAAUAAGUAUUCACUUUUAUCUGUGGUUUUAAGAUGAACCAGGAUGGCCCUGCUAAACACAUGUCACUGGGAAAUAUGCCUUUUAUCAGAAGGAUUUUUAACCCCUUAUUGUUUGGCUUACUAUGUGAUACAGAAACUUGCCUCUGGAGUGCUGGCGAGUUCAACUCUGUUUCAGAACUUUACCAGUAGAUGGUACAUAUUUCGACCCUCCAAGGACUGCUGGACAUAGAGGCAGGUUGACCGCAAAAAAAUUGAGAUCUCGUUGAAUGCCGAAGAACUAAUCCCACAAUUAUAUUCUACUUGACAGACCUUUUUAGAUAGUGUUACACCUUUACAAAAUCAUUCAUUCUGAGCCCAAAUGUAAACCAUGGCUGGACGACAUAGCUUUGCCAUGAGACCAGAAUGUAUAAGGGCACAACAUAACACACACAAGUUUUUGUGGUGAACACCACAUGCUGCAGCCGAGCAUUGACUGUCACGCAGAGUGACUGUUACGCAGACUGACUAUCACACAGUCUCUCAUACUGUCUCACACACUGCUUGCUGAAACCAUUUACACUUGCAUUAACAAGGAAUAUCAAGUAUUUUUUGCCAACUUUCAGACAGAUGAAGUUGCAUUGCUGUCUGUCUCUCACACUGUCUCACACACUGUAAAUGUUUGUACAGUGUUGCGAUGCAGAGAACAUAUGGAAAGCCACUGCAUGUUGUGCUCUUUGUAAAGUUAUGUUGGUUUAUUUGGCGCUUAAUAAACUUCUGGAUGUUUCACUGCUUAAAUUGAUUGAAUUUCUGAUUAUGAGUAAUGCAUACUGAUCCUCCCAUACACAGAUUCAGACACACAUUAUAAAACUCCUAGUUCUAUAUAUACAUCUGCACGUACAUAUGGUAUAUAAGCGCAUGCAGUACAUAUAUAUUCAUAACUAUUUAUUCGUAUCAAUAAGAUAUUCUUUUAAGAAAGAACUUUUAAUCAUUAGGGAUUUUUUUAUGGGCUUUACAGACUUUUACAACAACCACACCGAGUGCUGUAAUGCAUUUGCCUCCACAUCUGCAACUGGUCCAGAACGCUGCAGAUUGUUUUUAAGCAAGAAAACACAAGAAAGAUUCAAUCUUAACAUUAAUUUUUUUGAAUUUUUACGGGAAUUACCAUACUCUUAUUGCUUUUACAGUUGUUUGUUUUUAUUUGUUCUUUUUUUAAAAUUUUGCAGUCUAAUGUUGCUUUACUGGGCUGUUUGUCUGUGUCUGCCAUGUUUGAUUAUACAGCACUUUGGUCUACUCUUGUUAAAGAUCUUCUAUACAUUGGUUUGUACGGGGAAUAAUCUGGAUAUUUUUUUGUUUUUGGUCAAUCGAAACUAAAUAUUGCAAAAUGCGAUAUUUCCAAUUGUUUAAAGGUUUUCAUUCUCUGAAUCGUCAGUGGUCAAGGAAGAAAGAGUUUGUUAUAUUGCACGGCUCUUAGAACUCCUUGAGGCAAUAUUGUGCUCUGUGAAGCCAAGCCAUAUCAAUAAAAUUGACCCCUCGACUUGAGGGAAAACCUGAAAUUUAUUCCAUAUGAAAUGUUGAUUACUAUUGUUGAAGAACAUCCCUGAUGAAUCCAGCACAUAGAGACUCAGUUCAGUGCAGAAUUGUGCUGUGGUGUAGGCUGGUGUAAAGCUUUACCUCGCUGUUGAGCUCUGUGAAAGCGCUCCAAAGCUCAGGCCCUCAGGCGCUGAGCUCGGGUUUGGUCAUCUCACCCUCCAUUUCCCAGUCCUGGCACUCCGUGCCAUCCAAUCUCCAAGUCCUGGCCGCUUUUUCCAGUAUUAGUCCCAACCGUCUGUUCUGCACUGCAGGACUCUAACUGCCCAUUGGCACUAUGGUAGCUCCUACAGCCAAGCUAGUUAUCCAUUCUCCAAAGAGCUGAAACACUGGAGCAAAGACUGAUAGAUUCCUGAGCCAAGCAGCUAAAUGACUUUGCAUGCAUCAGUGAAAUUAAUGGUUGAAUUCUAAAUAU
ensembl:lncRNA